ensembl:lncRNA
CGUGGAGCUAGCCCUGUUGUGCUUCAGAGAAACAUUCUGAGUAUGAAGCUUAUAAAGGGAUCUGUGCCUCUCUUGUGGGUUUUUCACUUUCCCUAUCUAGCAGAGUUACUGUUGGGAUUGAUGAAGGAAGAACGUGGAAAUUACACCGUUGAGCAGCUGACUGGUGAAGCUCUCUGCACUUCGGAGUCCUCUCAUAAAGCAGAGCAGAGACAGCACAUGCUUUUUGAGCAAGAAACUGCCUGGUGCUCUCAGGCUGGUUUUCUUCUGGCAUAGUGCAAGCCUGAAUAUACAGUAUCUGCUUUGAGUUUCACUCAGAUGAGUUAAGUUGGAGAAGAUGGAAUUCAUAAGUGGCUUUGUUUUCAGCUGGCUGGAAGUUCAUCAUAAUAUCUGAGUGCUACAGCAG